CUGGUGUUGGAUUAAGUGAACCCAGCCUCAGGAUUAGGUGAACUUGUUGGAAGCGCUGGCUGCUUUUCCAUCUCCGUCCCCGGGAGCUUUUCCAUCUCCUUAAACUCUAGUAGAAGCUGCAGCUGUGAGAACUGCCAGUGGGCCUCAGGGGAACACAAGGCCUCUGGAGGGGCUUCACACCAGCUUCCCUCACCCCUCUUUCCUGCUGAGAUCCCCAUCUUCUCAACCAUCCCCCAUACAGUUUUCUAAGAAAGCCAGAGGAGGAAAUUAUCAUGAAAAAGAGAAUUGAGGUGGACUUGUCUGCCGGGCCAUUUCCUUCCCACCUAAGCUCCUGCCAGAUGGCUCCCAGUUGCUGUGUUUGAGCCCAGGCUGACCACUUCCUAGGCAGUGGCGUUGGAGAUGGGUGUGGCCUUGCCUCCAGGAUCUCCUCACAGCUUGUGCUUCCUGACAGCUGUGGACACUUGGGCUGACUGCAGACCUCCCGCUACCCUGAUUUCCAGCAACCUCUCUAGCUUUUCUUUGGAAGGAGCAAGAAAAAAAUGAAGUACAAGAAACGGUGAGCCAGCGCCAUGAGGAGUGGCUGCCUCUUGAAUCCUGUCAGUCUCCGGCAGAUCCGAUUACAUCUGGGACCCUUAAGAGUACUUGAAGCAAACGGCGCUGGUCUAUUUUAAUCCUGCUCCUUCUAGAAACUAGAAACUGUAAGGAGAGUCUUCCUGCUGACAGGUGGCUCCAUAAAAGUCGUCCAUCUGCUGCUAAUUAUGGCAGAAAGAAAAUUCACAGAGCCGAGUUUUCAGUUUAUUUGCUAAAGAUCUCCAAAGGUGUAACUGUCUUCCCAGAUCACAAGGCCAUUCACAGCGUUACAUCUAUAGCGCUUGUUAAUUAUUUAAAUAAUUUACAACUCGGGGUGGCAGCGAGCAUUUAACAGAAGUCUGGCUGGGAAAGAACUAUUCCUUCCAGCCCAGAACACUGUCUCUGAACAGCAAGAUGGCUUUGAAACGCUUUCACAACGAAGCAAUACUUCCAAUUUGUUAAGCACAUGUGACUCAGCCACACCAUGGAACUCACUAGGAUUGAAGGUCUGCCUCAAGCAACUUAUUCCAGUUCUCUGGCUACGUUUGCUGUAUGCCCUAUACAUCUUAUUUCUACAGGAAUGGCAGUUUGGGGCAUUUGAAAAAGUUGAAGUUCCCUGUUGCAUGUCCUUGGUCCCCAAAUCCAAGGAUUGUAAUUGUCCCCAGACUGUAUUGCUUGCAGAAAGAUAGGACACAGUAUUUGAAACCAAUGGGCUAAAUUUUGCUAAAUAACAUCUUGUUUUAUUUAUUCACAAAUAAAAAUAAUUUUGAGAUACUCUAUAAAUA
rnacentral:lncRNA from 1 species